GACGAACGCUGGCGGCGUGCCUAAUACAUGCAAGUCGAACGAGAGCGACCGGUGCUUGCACUGGUCAAUCUAGUGGCGAACGGGUGAGUAACACGUGGGUAACCUGCCCAUCAGAGGGGGAUAACAUUCGGAAACGGAUGCUAAAACCGCAUUGGUCCUUUAACCGCAUGGUUGAAGGAGGAAAAGAGGCGCAAGCUUCUGCUGAUGGAUGGACCCGCGGUGCAUUAGCUAGUUGGUGAGGUAACGGCUCACCAAGGCCGUGAUGCAUAGCCGACCUGAGAGGGUGAUCGGCCACAUUGGGACUGAGACACGGCCCAAACUCCUACGGGAGGCAGCAGUAGGGAAUCUUCCGCAAUGGACGCAAGUCUGACGGAGCAACGCCGCGUGAGUGAAGAAGGUUUUCGGAUCGUAAAACUCUGUUGUUAGAGAAGAACAAGUGCUAGAGUAACUGUUAGCGCCUUGACGGUAUCUAACCAGAAAGCCACGGCUAACUACGUG
rnacentral:rRNA from 1 species